UACGAAGGGGGCUAGCGUUGCUCGGAAUUACUGGGCGUAAAGCGCACGUAGGCGGAUUGUUAAGUCGGGGGUGAAAUCCUGGAGCUCAACUCCAGAACUGCCUUCGAUACUGGCGAUCUCGAGUCCGGGAGAGGUGAGUGGAACUGCGAGUGUAGAGGUGAAAAUUCGUAGAUAUUCGCAAGAACACCAGUGGCGAAGGCGGCUCACUGGCCCGGUACUGACGCUGAG
rnacentral:rRNA from 1 species